rnacentral:rRNA from 1 species
UACAGAGGUCUCAAGCGUUGUUCGGAUUCAUUGGGCGUAAAGGGUGCGUAGGUGGCGCCAUAAGUCAGGUGUGAAAUCUCGGGGCUCAACCUCGAAACUGCACUUGAUACUGUGGUGCUUGAGGACUGGAGAGGAGAUUGGAAUUUACGGUGUAGCAGUGAAAUGCGUAGAUAUCGUAAGGAAGACCAGUGGCGAAGGCGAAUCUCUGGACAGUUACUGACACUGAGGCACGAAGGCCAGGGGAGCAAACGGG